UACGUAGGGUCCGAGCGUUGUCCGGAAUUAUUGGGCGUAAAGAGCUCGUAGGCGGUUUGUCGCGUCUGCUGUGAAAACUGGAGGCUCAACCUCCAGCCUGCAGUGGGUACGGGCAGACUAGAGUGCGGUAGGGGAGAAUGGAAUUCCUGGUGUAGCGGUGGAAUGCGCAGAUAUCAGGAGGAACACCGAUGGCGAAGGCAGUUCUCUGGGCCGUAACUGACGCUGAGGAGCGAAAGCAUGGGGAGCGAACAGG
rnacentral:rRNA from 1 species